GCGAGGUAGACUGGAGAUGGUCCCAGCUCGGUCUCAUAAGCCGAUCUACAUGAGUUCGAAUCUCAUCCUCGCU
rnacentral:tRNA from 3 species